AUUGAACGCUGGCGGCAGGCUUAACACAUGCAAGUCGAGCGAGCGGCGGACCGGUGAGUAAUGUCUGGGAAACUGACCGAUGGAGGGUGAUAACUACCGGAAACGGUGGCUAAUAACGCCUACCCACAGUUGUGCCCAAAUGGGAUUAGCUAGUAGGGGGGAUAAUGGAUCACCUAGCCGACGAUCCCUAGCUGGUCCGAGCGGAUGACCAGCCACUCUGAAACUGCGACACGGUCCAGAAUCCUACGGGAGGCACCGGUGGGGAAUAUUGCACAAUGGGCGCAAGCCUGAUGCAGCCAUGCCGCGUGUGUGAAGAAGGCCUUCGGGUUGUAAAGCACUUUCAGCGAGGAGGCGUUACUCGCAGAAGAAGCACCGGCUAACUCCGUGCCAGCAGCCGCGGUAAUUC
rnacentral:rRNA from 1 species